rnacentral:rRNA from 1 species
CAGCCGCCGCGGGAAUACGUAGGGUGCAAGCGUUACUCGGAAUUACUGGGCGUAAAGCGUGCGUAGGUGGUGGUUUAAGUCCGUUGUGAAAGCCCUGGGCUCAACCUGGGAAUUGCAGUGGAUACUGGGUCACUAGAGUGUGGUAGAGGAUAGUGGAAUUUCCGGUGUAGCAGUGAAAUGCGUAGAGAUCGGAAGGAACAUCUGUGGCGAAGGCGACUAUCUGGGCCAACACUGACACUGAGGCACGAAAGCGUGGGGAGCAAACAGGAUUAGAUACCCGCGUAGUCCCUGUCUCUUAUAA